rnacentral:rRNA from 1 species
GCGGCUACGCUGGCGACGUGCCUAUACAUGCAGUCGAGCGAAUGGAUUAAGAGCUUGCUCUUAUGAAGUUAGCGGCGGACGGGUGAGUAACACGUGGGUAACCUGCCCAUAAGACUGGGAUAACUCCGGGAAACCGGGGCUAAUACCGGAUAACAUUUUGAACCGCAUGGUUCGAAAUUGAAAGGCGGCUUCGGCUGUCACUUAUGGAUGGACCCGCGUCGCAUUAGCUAGUUGGUGAGGUAACGGCUCACCAAGGCAACGAUGCGUAGCCGACCUGAGAGGGUGAUCGGCCACACUGGGACUGAGACACGGCCCAGACUCCUACGGGAGGCAGCAGUAGGGAAUCUUCCGCAAUGGACGAAAGUCUGACGGAGCAACGCCGCGUGAGUGAUGAAGGCUUUCGGGUCGUAAAACUCUGUUGUUAGGGAAGAACAAGUGCUAGUUGAAUAAGCUGGCACCUUGACGGUACCUAACCAGAAAGCCACGGCUAACUACGUGCCAGCAGCCGCGGUAAUACGUAGGUGGCAAGCGUUAUCCGGAAUUAUUGGGCGUAAAGCGCGCGCAGGUGGUUUCUUAAGUCUGAUGUGAAAGCCCACGGCUCAA